rnacentral:misc_RNA from 1 species
UUUCCGUAGGUGAACCUGCGGAAGGAUCAUUACUGAGUUUUGCAUGAAGUUGUUCUGGUCUUUCGGGGCAUGUGAACGCUUCUCUCGAUCCAUCUUACACCUGUGCACCUUUCGGGGAAGACUUGGAUCUAAGUUGGGUCACGACGGCGAUCUACAGUCUCCUCUUUAUACCAAAUAACAGUUUUAGAAAGUCUUUUUUGCUUGAUGCAAACUUAAAUAAAUACAACUUUCAGCAACGGAUCUCUUGGCUCUG